rnacentral:lncRNA from 1 species
UGCAUAUAUAUUUCAUUGAACAUAUAUAUAUAUUUGGUCAUUACAUACAACAUAGAAACAUAUUGUUUUUAUUCAUAUUACAAAAUGAGUUAUGAACAUCGUUCUUAAUAAUAAAACACAAAGUAUAUGUAAUAAUAAGGAACAUAGACAUCACCCUCCUUCAAGCACCACAACACUUUUAGAUAACUCCAAACUUAUCAAAGUCUCACCAAUUGUAAUUAUCCUCAACUUCUUGAAAUCUACAAACAAAAUAAGACUAGCAUUAAAACUAAGAACUUCAACUUCUAAUUCUAAGAACUUUGAUAAUAGAAUUAUAUCCAUGAAAUAGAAACAAAAUGUAAAAUCUCUAUGUACUUGCAUUUUAAUCGGAUUAAAGGUAUGGUUACUCCCUACUAAGCCCAUAUCCAUAUUUUGUAAAACAUUAGUAAAAGAAUGAAACAAAACAUUUGUAAGAUGAAAAAAUAUGCAAGAAACUCAACUUUUCUAAAGAUACAAUUGCAGAAAUUCAAUGCACUCGAUCUACAACAAUUGACCAUGUGCAAGUACUGCAUAUAACCUCCCCCCUCUAAUGAAUAAAAAUAACCUCAAAGACACCACUUUGUAAGUUCAAUAACAUAAGUGAGUGAAAAUUCAAACUUAUAACAAUACCUUAACUAGUUGUGUUGUACUUUGGUUGCCCAUUGACACCACUCUUUAAAAAUCCUAGAAGUAAAAAUUCACCAUAGACAUAGUUGUAGUUUUAUUAAACAAGUAUCACGUGGUUAUACCAACAGUAACAAAAACUAAGACAAAUAAUGGACUAUAAUCAAAAGGAAACGGUAUUAGAAAAGCUAGCAUGGGUAAAAAAAAAAUAGUUACCAACCUUUUGAGGCCACAAUUGUAGAUAAAUCUAAAGCAACAUGAAGUUGGAUCAACCAAUUCAUUUCAACACACAUAUGGCUAGCCUCUAAUGAUUAACACCACUCCAAUACAGUUCAGUAACGUUCCAAUCACUUGAAGAGUCUCAAGGAUCCAAAAUUCACAAAUUGUAACACAAAU